CAAUUUACGUAAUGUUAAUGAGAACGUCAUCUGUUGCGAUUACAUUUAGUUUUGGCGACUGUGUCAGGGAUUUUGUGGACUGUCUGCAGUUUUCCCUUCACACCCCAGACAAUUUUUUCAUUUUCCAAUGUAAAGACUAUUACUAGUACAGAAAAGAACUGAAUAUAAUACAUCAACACGACAAGGGCUAGGUGCACUGGAUUAGCUGAGGAAUUGAGGCAGAUAAUGAACGACCAAGAGGUGUUCCAGACCCAGAGGAACAGGCAUUUAAGGUAAUUGCAGCGGAACCCUUCAGAAAUAACCGGAGCACUGCACAACAACUGGCACUUUCCCAGUUGAACAUAGUAAUGUUUACAUCAACCUAUUAUGGUGACAAUAAAAGAAAUAAUCCUCGUUGA